UCGAAGCUCAGUGGGUAUAGCUUAGGGCUUGUGACCGGAAGAUCCCGGGUUUGAAUCUCGGCAGAA
rnacentral:tRNA from 1 species